AUUUUAUUUUCCUUUAUUGAAAAUGUGAUUCCGCUUGAAAUUAAUGCUGGGAUUGUUGUGAUGGGUACAAUUGAUCUUCAUAUCAUCACCACCACUCGAUUUUGAUAUGACUGUGCCAUUACAUUCUAAUGGAAAAUGAAUAUGUACCUCACAACUGAUUCAAUUUUGUAAUUAGGAUCUCUUUGGUUAAGUUAAUUAAAAAUUUGUUUAGAAGCUGGCCGUAACUAUUGAAUUCCAUCAUUUUUUUGCGUCUACUUUUGCACAAUGGUUUAUUAAAGAAAAUCUCUUGUAUUUGGCAUAUAAAUGAGCAUCCAUUAGAU
rnacentral:misc_RNA from 1 species